rnacentral:rRNA from 1 species
GGGGUAACAUGGGUAGCAAUACCUGAUGACGACCGGCAAACGGGUGCGGAACACGUACGCAACCUUCCCAUAACUGGUGAAUAGCCUUCCGAAAGGGAGAUUAAUACACCGUAACAUAACGAAGCGGCAUCGCUUUGUUAUUAUAGGCUUCGGCCGGUUUUGGAUGGGCGUGCGCCUGAUUAGGUAGUUGGCGGGGUAACGGCCCACCAAGCCUGCGAUCAGUAACUGGUGUGAGAGCACGACCAGUCACACGGGCACUGAGACACGGGCCCGACUCCUACGGGAGGCAGCAGUAAGGAAUAUUGGUCAAUGGACGAAAGUCUGAACCAGCCAUGCCGCGUGAAGGAUGAAGGCCCUCUGGGUUGUAAACUUCUUUUAUCUGGGACGAAAAAAGCUCAUUCUUGAGCACUUGACGGUACCAGAGGAAUAAGCACCGGCUAGCUCCGUGCCAGCAGCCGCGGUAAUACGGAGGGUGCAAGCGUUAUCCGGAUUCACUGGGUUUAAAGGGUGCGUAGGUGGGUCUGUAAGUCAGUGGUGAAAUCUCCGAGCUUAACUCGGAAACUGCCAUUGAUACUAUAGGUCUUGAAUCAUCUGGAGGUAAGCGGAAUAUGUCAUGUAGCGGUGAAAUGCUUAGAUAUGACAUAGAACACCAAUUGCGAAGGCAGCUUACUACGGGUGUAUUGACACUGAGGCACGAAAG